ensembl:lncRNA EIF1B-AS1 EIF1B antisense RNA 1
CUCAACCAAUACUGGAGAUGGGAGCCUCUCUUUCCAGGAUUGGACGGACCUCCGAUUCCCUAGCACGGUGGAUCUCAGACUAAAGCGUGUGUCUCUGGAGGGCUUGAGAAAACACUGAUAGACCCCAGAGUUUCUGUUUCAGGAAGUCUAGGGUGUGACCUGAAAAUCUGCAAUUCUCAUAAGCUCCUUGGUGAUGCUGAUCCUGCCUGCUGGUCUGGGAUCAGGCUUGAGAAUCACUGCCCAGCUUAAUCCUGGGCCUGGCAUCGAGUGGGGGCCAGGUGUGUAUGAACAGAAGAUACCAGAAAAUCAGCUUGUCAGCUCAUUUUGUGUGCCUCAGAAGGCCCAACAGAGAAUUCAGGAAAGAUGCCAGGUAUAAGCUGAAGAUUGGGUGGAUCACAAGAACUAAUCUUUCAUGAUUUGGAAACCGGAAGGAAAGAAGCACUUUUGUAGCUGACUUACCUCAAUGACAUGACCAGUGUCUGAGCCUACAACUGCGCUAUCUUCCCUGGAUUUUUCUUCACCUUUUCCUUACUCAUGAGCCAGUUAAGUGAAGUUGAACCUAACCCUAGCCGAAAGAGCACUGUUGUCUGAAUGCAACCGCAGGACACUGAGAAGCUGGAUAAGCACUCUCUUAGUGCUCUGUGUUGGAUUUGUGUAUGGCUUGGAUCACACUCCCUACCCUAACCUUGAUUCCAGAGAGUUGGGCCAGCUCAGGGUGGGGUGUAGGAGGAUACACUGUAUACACUCUGACAGUAUAUGUGUCUCCUCAACAUUCAGAGGCCACAUGGCAGGGCAGAUGUCCAUUAACUAUCUUGGGCUUAUCACAUCUCUUUAAUAAACAACAGUGGGGACAGAUAGUGCCCUACAGGCAUAUUACAGGGAAGACUUGAUGAAAUUUAGCAUUGUUUAUUGUCUGUCUUACAAACAAUGCACUUAGAUUUUUACCAUGAAACUAGCAGUAGAGUCCCUGAAGCUCAAGUUUAAAAAGCCUCAAGUCAAACGAUAUAUAUAUAUAUAUUUGUAAUUUUGUUAUGUGUUGGAGAGUUGACAUCAGCUGGCAUAUAUGACUGUCCAUACCAGCUGUUAUAUUAUUAAAAUAAUUUCGGCCGGGCACGGUGGUUCAUGCCUGUAAUCCCAGCACUUUGGGAGGCCAAGGCGGGCAGAUCACGAGGUCAGGAGAUCGAGACUAUCCUGGCUAACACGGUGAAACCCCGUCUCUACUAAAAAUACAAAAAAUUAGCUGGGCGUGGUGGCAGGUGCCUGUACUCCUAACUAAUCAGGAGGCUGAGGCAGGAGAAUGGUGUGAACCUGGGAGGCGGAGCUUGCAGUGAGCUGAGAUCGCACCACUGCAUUCCAGCCUGGGCAACAGAGCAAGACUCUGUCUAAAAAAAAAUAAUAAAAUAAUAAUAAUUUUAUACUGAUUGGGAAAUAGCUAUUGUUCAACCUCCCCAACACCAGGCUCCUCCCUUUGGGCCUUCUAGACCCCUACAUGAACCAGCAAGUAAGAGGUGAAUGCUUGACAGCAGGGAUCUUCCUGGAUUUAGUCACUACCCAUUUGCAAAGUUAGGCAUUUGAGCCUAUGGUGUUGUUGACAAAAAGAGUCAAACUCUAUAAAAUAUUUGAAGAGAUUUAAACUGAGCCAAAUAUAAGUGGCCAUGGCCCAUGACUCAGCUUUCAGGAGAUCCUGAGAACAUGUGCCCAAAGUGGUCAGGGGUGCAGCCUGGUUUUAUACAUCUUAGGGACAUGUGAGACAUCAAUGAAAUACAUUUAAGGUAUAUGUUGGAUUGCUGUAGACUUAGAGAAGGAAUUAUAGAUGCUUUUAUGCAUUUUGUUUAGCUCAGAGUUUCUUGAGAGUUAAGAGGGGAAGAAAAGAAAUAAAUGGAUUUUAGAAUGUAAGACUGACUUUGGAAGAGAAUCUAUAGUUGGAUAAUAAAACUAGGUGUUGAAAGGGAAGUAUUGAUCAGAGGAGGAUCCAGAAAGGCAGGGCAACUCGAAGUGGAGGUGGGGUGUGGAAUGGGGUGGGGCUUUUAAGUUAUAGGUAGAUUAAAAAUUUUUUGGGUUGGCAACUGGUUGAAAAAGUUAUUGUCAAUAGAAAGGAAUAUCUGGGUUAAGAUAAGAGGUUGUGGAGACUAAAGUUUUAUCAUGCAGAUGAAGCUUCCAGGUAGCAGGCUUCAGAGAGAAUAAAUUGUAACUGUUUAUCAGACUUAAGGUCCUGUUAAUGUUAAAUGCUGGUUGGCUUUUCCUGAAUUCAAAAGGGAGGAGGACAUAAUGAGGCAUGUCUGAUCCCCUCUCCAGCCCCUGAAUCAUGGCCUGAACCAGUCUUUCAGAUUAAAUUUAGAGGACCCUGGCCUAGAGGAGGAAGUCUAUUCACAUAGUUGUGGGGCAUUCACAUUUUAUUCCUGGAUUAUAGUGUCAUUAUCCCAGCAGUAAGUUACUGCCGUCCAAUAUUUAUCCGUAGUUUGAUUGAAACAGUAUACAGGGGAUAUCGCUCCAGGCAGUUUAUAGUUCACCCCUGGAUCAAAUCAGAUCCACAGAGAAACUGAGAAUGUGUAUUGCAUUUCAAUUAGCCUCUGCUACCCCUUGUCACCCUGAGAACUGGUCUUGCUGAAUUGUCAUGCAAUCAGCAUGACAAUGUGAUGUCAUCAGUCUGUGCUGUCAACAGCCUGGGCUGAGAGACAGGGAGGGAAACAGCACAAAUGACACUCAUUGUCAUCUGUCUUUUAGGAAUGUUGUCAAGGAUGUGUUUUUUUUAUAUCAUGGUUUCUAUUUAUGAGGAUACUCAGAGAACUGCCUAACUGCUUUUCGAUGUAAGAACAAUUGUAUUACUCCUGAGAAACUGUUCUCUUUUUAACUUUACAAAUCUCUUUGUAAGUGUCUAGUUUUCCCUUCUCCUUGUUUUUGUAGGUAGACUUACAUCU